rnacentral:sRNA from 1 species
ACUCGCGCUCUCGGCUUCUGCUCCGGGGCUUCUUCCCUGCCCGCCCGGGGCCCUGACCGUGGCUUCUUCCCCGGCCUGAUCUGCGCAGCCCGGCGGGCGCCCAGAAGGAGCAGGCGGCGCGGGGGCGCGCUGGGCGGGGGAGGCGUGGCCGGAGCUGCGGCGGCAAGCGGGCUGGGACUGCUCGGCCGCCUCCUGCCCGGCGAGCAGCUCAGGUCCUGGGCUGAAGAGAUGGGGAGCAGCCGCUGUGGGCCUGGGGCUCACCCUGUUCACCUGUGGCCCCCACACUUUGCAUUCUCUGGUCACCAUCCUCGGGACCUGGGCCCUCAUUCAGGCCCAGCCCUGCUCCUGCCACGCCCUGGCUCUGGCCUGGACUUUCUCCUAUCUCCUGUUCUUCCGAGCCCUCAGCCUCCUGGGCCUGCCCACUCCCACGCCCUUCACCAAUGCCGUCCAGCUGCUGCUGACGCUGAAGCUGGUGAGCCUGGCCAGUGAAGUCCAGGACCUGCACCUGGCCCAGAGGAAGGAAAUGGCCUCAGGCUUCAGCAAGGGGCCCACCCUGGGGCUGCUGCCCGAUGUGCCCUCCCUGAUGGAGACGCUCAGCUACAGCUACUGCUACGUGGGAAUCAUGACAG